GGCGUUGUAAUUUAUAUAAAAUAAUACCUUGCAAUGGUAAAAAAACUUUUAGUUGACGUCU
rnacentral:tRNA from 1 species